UAAAAUAAAUAUAUGUUCUUAAAAAAUGUUUUAUUUAUUCAUUUGAUAGGUAGUAAAAUAGAGUUUAUUUUUAUAAAAUGAUAAAAUCACUACCACAAACAUGGUCUUCAACGAUGCAAGUUUUAUUAUGGUUGUACAAAAACUGAUGUCAUAAGUAAAGUGGUGACAUUUUUGUAAACAACUGGAAAUUUUCAAAGAGGAUUAUAUCAUAAUCUUCUUUGAAAAUGAAUUACGACAUCGGUUCUACAAUGCGAAAAUACAAUGUCUUUAGGGAAUGUGAACGGGCUCUCUCUCACUCCUUAUUUUCAUCUUCUUUUUAAUAUCUUUCUCCCUCAGUUUUAGAGAAUCCUAAAUUCUCCUCCUUGCUCUCUCUCUCUCUCUCUCUCUCUCUCUCUGUCCAUGCCUCCAUCACCGUGGAGAUCCCCACGAAGCCGGUGAAGAUACAGUGGCACAGGUGUUCAUUGCUCACGAGAUUGACUUGGAUUCUUCAUCUCUGGAAGCUAUCCUCUUUCUCGUUCGAACAUGGCAUCUACAUCCUCCUUAUCAGAGUGUAGGGAUAUGCCAGAGCUUCCUGGUGGGAGUUUGAAUCUCAUGUUCUUGUGCGUGAGCCAUCUUUAUUUUAGUGGUCCUGAAGCAAGGUUUGAAAGAUUGCCUAAGUUGGUUAGAGCCACGAUUGUGAUAGGCCAUGUUCUAUUGGAGGUUGUUAAUAAUGUUAAGUUUCUGCACAUAGAUUGGGUUGAGGGGUUGAAGUGAUCAAGCGUUGCCCCAAUCUUCAAAUUCUUGACAUUGAUAUGGGGAGUAUUGACAUGAAUGCUAGAGGCGAUGAAGGAGCAGAUUGGCCAUUCCCUCGAUCUAUCCCUUCAUGCAUUUCAUUAAAUCUUAAAACAUGCGAAGAAGAAGAAACAAAGAAACAAAGAAAGGUGGUGCUAGGUGUGGCUGUUACUCUAUUCUAUUGCGACACCCAAUGAGUCACUAGUUGACUUACAUGA